GCCGGCGGUGUGCGGGGCCGGGGCCGGGGCCGGGCCGGGGCCGGGG
rnacentral:miRNA from 1 species